rnacentral:rRNA from 1 species
CCUGUCAGGAUGAACGCUGGCGGCGUGCUUAACACAUGCAAGUCGAACGAUGAUCCCAGCUUGCUGGGGGAUUAGUGGCGAACGGGUGAGUAACACGUGAGUAACCUGCCCUUAACUCUGGGAUAAGCCUGGGAAACUGGGUCUAAUACCGGAUAUGACUCCUCAUCGCAUGGUGGGGGGUGGAAAGCUUUUUGUGGUUUUGGAUGGACUCGCGGCCUAUCAGCUUGUUGGUGAGGUAAUGGCUUACCAAGGCGACGACGGGUAGCCGGCCUGAGAGGGUGACCGGCCACACUGGGACUGAGACACGGCCCAGACUCCUACGGGAGGCAGCAGUGGGGAAUAUUGCACAAUGGGCGCAAGCCUGAUGCAGCGACGCCGCGUGAGGGAUGACGGCCUUCGGGUUGUAAACCUCUUUCAGUAGGGAAGAAGCGAAAGUGACGGUACCUGCAGAAGAAGCGCCGGCUAACUACGUGCCAGCAGCCGCGGUAAUACGUAGGGCGCAAGCGUUAUCCGGAAUUAUUGGGCGUAAAGAGCUCGUAGGCGGUUUGUCGCGUCUGCCGUGAAAGUCCGGGGCUCAACUCCGGAUCUGCGGUGGGUACGGGCAGACUAGAGUGAUGUAGGGGAGACUGGAAUUCCUGGUGUAGCGGUGAAAUGCGCAGAUAUCAGGAGGAACACCGAUGGCGAAAGCAGGUCUCUGGGCAUUAACUGACGCUGAGGAGCGAAAGCAUGGGGAGCGAACAGGAUUAGAUACCCUGGUAGUCCAUGCCGU